GACGAACGCUGGCGGCGUGCUUAACACAUGCAAGUCGAACGGUAAGGCCCUUCGGGGUACACGAGUGGCGAACGGGUGAGUAACACGUGGGUGAUCUGCCCUGCACUUCGGGAUAAGCCUGGGAAACUGGGUCUAAUACCGGAUAGGACUCCUGGCUUCAUGGUUGGGGGUGGAAAGCUUUUGCGGUGUGGGAUGGGCCCGCGGCCUAUCAGCUUGUUGGGGGGGUAAUGGCCUACCAAGGCGACGACGGGUAGCCGGCCUGAGAGGGUGGCCGGUCACACUGGGAGUGAGCUACGGCCCCGACUCCUACGGGAGGCAGCAGUGGGGAAUAUUGCACAAGGGGCGCAAGCCUGAUGCAGCGACGCCGCGUGAGGGACGACGGCCUUCGGGUUGUAAACCUCUUUCAGCUAUGACGAAGCGCAAGUGACGGUAGUAGCAGAAGAAGGACCGGCCAACUACGUGCCAGCCGCCGCCGUAA
rnacentral:rRNA from 1 species